rnacentral:lncRNA from 1 species
CACGCAUCUCACGGCUUGACGAUCAAGGGGGCAAAGCCUCGGUCUUCAUAGAAAAGGAGAGGAGGCAAACGCAGCCCAAACUGGGGGGUUUCUCUUCAAAGCCAGCUGGUCUGGCUUUAUUCUACAGGAAUUUUUUUACCUGUCAGGGUUUGGACAACAAAGCCCUCAGCAGGUGCUGACGGGUACAACUUCCUGGAGAAGCAGAAAGGCACUGAGAAAACAUCUUGCUCUGUUGCUCAGGCUGGAGCGCAAUGGUGCCAUCGUAGCUUACUGUAACCUUGAACGUCUGUGCUCAAGCAAUCUUCCUGCCUCAGCCUCCUGAGUAGCUGGGACUACAGAGACAGGGUCUUGUUCUAUUGUCCAAGCUGGUCUUGAAUUCCUGACCUCAAGCAAUCCUCCUGCCUCUGCCUCCCAAAGCACUGGGAUUAUUACAGUAGAGACGAGGUUUCACUGUGUUAGCCAGGAUGGUCUUGAUCUCCUGACCUUGUGAUCCACCCGCCUCGGCCUCCCAAAGUGCUGGGAUUACAGGCGUGAGCCACCGCACCCGGCUACAAUGGAUAAAUGAUUUCUUAUUGUACUUUUAAUUUGCAUUUCUUUGAUUACUGUGAGGUUGAACCAUUUAAAAAUAAGCAUUGCCUUUUGUGUGAAUUGUGUUUCUUCUUUUGAGGAACAUUCCUCCUGCAUUCUUUGGCUCCCCUCCCCGCCCCAGACAUACAUUAGACUUUCCAAAGACUUGGAAAUUAACACUUCGUGGGUCAUAUUUACAGCAAUUAUUUACUCUGGUAAUUUCCUUUUCAUUUUAAUUGUACUAUUUUCAGGACUUUUAUGUGUUUUCAAAUGAAGAUCUUCUCAUCUGUGAUUGCUUCAAAGCUUGGAAAAUAAUAAUAACAUCAACGAAGUGAAAAUUACCCAAUUUUAUUUUUUCCUUCUAUUAUAUAUUUGUAUUAAGCUCUUUCAUCAACAUGGAAAAAAAUGACAGUAUUUAUGAUAGUCACACACACACACACGGAAUGUGAGAGGGGGAGGGUAUUUGUGAAAAGACCACAAAUUAGAUUGGGCAAAAUGGCUCAUACCUAUAAUCCUAGUACUUUGGGAGGACGAGGAAGGACGAUUUCUGAAAGCCAGGAGUUUGAGACCAGCUUGGGCAACAUAGUGAGACCUCAUCUCUAUAAAAAAUACAAAAAUUAGCUGGACAUGGUGGUGUGUACUUGUAGUCCCAGCUACUUAGGAGGCUGUGGCAGGAGGAUUGCUUGACCUGAGGAGUUCAAGGCUGCAGUGAGCUAUGAUUGCACUGUGUCCAGAAUUGGUGGGUUCUUGGUCUUACUGACUUCAAGAAUGAAGCUGCACACCCUCGAGGUGAGUGUUACAGUUCUUAAAGAUGGUGUGUCCGGAGUUUGUUCCUUCUGAUGUUCAGACGUGGUCAGAGUUUUUUCCUUCUGGUGGGUUCGUGGUCUCACUGGCUUCAGGAGUGAAACUGCAGACCUUCGCCGUGAGUGUUACAGCUCUUAAGGCGGCGCGUCUGGAGUUGUUCAUUCCUCUAGGUGGGUUCGUGGUCUCGCUGACCUCAGGAGUGAAGCUGCAGACCUUCUAGGUGAGUGUUACAGCUCAUAAAGGCAGUGCACACCCAAAGAGCGAGCAGCAGCAAGAUUUAUUGCAACGAGUGAAAAAACAAAACUUCCACAGUGUGGAAGGGGACCCAAGCAGGUUGCUGCUGCUGGCUCCAGCCGCCUGCUUUUAUUCUCUUAUCUGGCCCUCCAAGUCCCCACUAGAUUAGCUAGACACAGAACACUGGUGCAUUUACAAACCUUGAGCUAGACACAGAGUGCUGAUUGGUGUUAUUUACAAUCCUUUAGCUAGAUAUAAAGGUUCUCCAAGUCCCUACCAGAUUAGCCAGAUACAGAGUGCUGAUUGGUGCAUCCACAAACUCCGAGCUAGACACAGAGCACUGAUUGGUGCAUUUACAAUCCUUUAGCUAGACAUAAAGGUUCUCCAAGUCCCCACCUGACUCAGGAGCCCAGCUGGCUUCCCCUAGUGGAUCACACGCCAGGGCCGUGGGAGGAGCUGCCCGCUAGUCCUGUGGUGCUCACCUGCACUCCUCAGCCCUUGGGCGGUCGAUGGGACCGGGCGCAGUGGGCGGCGCCCGUCGAGGAGUCUCGGGCUGCCGAGGAGCCCACCGCGGGGGACUCUGGCAUGGCGGGCUGCAGGUCCCGAGCCCUGCCCGGCCGGGAGGCGGCUGAGGCCCCGCGAGAAUUCCAGCGUGGCGCGGGCGGGCCGGCAGUACUAGGGGACCCUGCGCCCCCUCCGCAGCUGCUGGCCCAGGUGCUAAGCCCCUCACUGCCUGGGGCCAGCGGCGCCUGCUGGCCGCUUUGAGUGCGGAGCCCGCCGAGCCCACGCUCACCCGGAACUCGCGCUGGCCCGCGAGCUCCGCGCGCAGCCCGGUUCCCGCCCGCGCU